rnacentral:misc_RNA from 1 species
GAUGAAGAACGUAGCGAAAUGCGAUAAGUAGUGUGAAUUGCAGAAUUCCGUGAAUCAUCGAAUCUUUGAACGCACAUUGCGCCUCCUGGUAGUCCGGGAGGCAUGCCUGUUCGAGCGUCACCAAAUCCAACUCAAGCGGUUUUGCGCUUGGUCGUGGCGGAAGAGUCGGUCUGGUUGCCGUCUCCCCUCCGAAAAUCAACGGCGGAAAGUCACUGGCAGUCAGCGUAGUAGUAUCGUUCGCCGAACAUCCAGUGGCAUUCCUGCCGACGUACCCCCCCAAUUCUCGUGAUUGACCUCGGAUCAGGUAGGGAUACCCGCUGAACUUAAGCAUAUCAAUAAGCGGAGGA